UCCUGCACCAAAACAACUCAAAACCAUGAACUUCAAAUUCUUUGUUUUUGCCAUAAUGGCAACCAUGUUAGUGGUGUCUAUAGCUGCAGCACCGGCAGCAGUCGUCAAUAAGAAAGAUAAAGACAUCGACAUUAUUAUCAUUCGAGCACGUCGCGAUGUGAGUGAGUGUUGUGACCUUGUUGGAGGUGCCAGUAAUGAUCGCAGCGCUGCUGAUUCUAUUUUGAAAGGAGAUGAAAGUUGAAGUUGUAUUAAUCAGUAUUGUAAAUAUUUCCGGAGAAUAUUCUUUAAUGAUCGUAGAAACCGCAACUGAAAUUUGAACGUUCAAAAAUGUAAAAAUACAUAUACAGGAUGUAUCAUUUAAGAUUCGAAAUUUUGAGUCACUACUAUUUAUUUUAUAGCAUUCAAAUAUUUUUUACUAACUAAUAUCACCCACCAAAAUUAUAUAUAAAUUAUGUAUAAAUUUGGUUUACAUAGGAUACAUGAACAAAAGAACCGAGGAUAUUUAAAGAUACAAAAAGAUUCACGCACUGUUUUUAUGGGAAUUUUUCGAAAGAAACUAACUAACUCGUGAACGAAAAGAUAUAGCGAUGCCAAACCUUCGCUAAUUGAUUUCUACGAGUUCUCAGUUCAAGGAUCAGUGCUAUUGAAUAUGAGCCGGAUCAAAAGUCUAGUUUCCGAAUACGAGUGGCAAAAAAUUCCCCUACUGAAAAUCGUAUGAGAUUCUUGGUAUCUUGCUUAUGUUUAGUCUUGUAACGGGCUACUCGCACAAAUUUUUUUGCAAUUCCUUACCGGAAAGUGGACCAGUUAUAUUAAACCGGAAAAUGAAGGGAUGUCGCCCUUUUACUUGAGCUGACAACAUGCAGACAACUAAGAUAAACUCGAAAUAUCAAGUAAUUACGCUUCCGUUUUCAUCUCUUAUUUAAAUAUUAUUUUAAUUUCCGGUACGAUUGCCACUGUAUACCUAAAUACACUGCAUUCAUUAUAUGAAAGUACCUACUAGAUGGCGCUGUGUGUGAAGAUAAGUACACACAGGAAAAAUAUAAAACGGUACCAAAUUAUUGUAUAGAAAUAUCCAGCAUUGCGAACAGAAAUAAAUCAAACGAUUUCACGCUUGGAUUUUUGACAUUAACAGCUAAUGAUCUAAUGACAGUUCGAAAGU